rnacentral:rRNA from 1 species
AUGAACGCUAGCUACAGGCUUAACACAUGCAAGUCGAGGGGCAGCAUGAACUUAGCUUGCUAAGUUUGAUGGCGACCGGCGCACGGGUGAGUAACACGUAUCCAACCUGCCGAUGACUCGGGGAUAGCCUUUCGAAAGAAAGAUUAAUACCCGAUGGCAUAGUUCUUCCGCAUGGUAGAACUAUUAAAGAAUUUCGGUCAUCGAUGGGGAUGCGUUCCAUUAGGUUGUUGGCGGGGUAACGGCCCACCAAGCCUUCGAUGGAUAGGGGUUCUGAGAGGAAGGUCCCCCACAUUGGAACUGAGACACGGUCCAAACUCCUACGGGAGGCAGCAGUGAGGAAUAUUGGUCAAUGGACGAGAGUCUGAACCAGCCAAGUAGCGUGAAGGAUGACUGCCCUAUGGGUUGUAAACUUCUUUUAUACGGGAAUAAAGUGAGGCACGUGUGCCUUUUUGUAUGUACCGUAUGAAUAAGGAUCGGCUAACUCCGUGCCAGCAGCCGCGGUAAUACGGAGGAUCCGAGCGUUAUCCGGAUUUAUUGGGUUUAAAGGGAGCGUAGGCGGACGCUUAAGUCAGUUGUGAAAGUUUGCGGCUCAACCGUAAAAUUGCAGUUGAUACUGGGUGUCUUGAGUACAGUAGAGGCAGGCGGAAUUCGUGGUGUAGCGGUGAAAUGCUUAGAUAUCACGAAGAACUCCGAUUGCGAAGGCAGCUUGCUGGACUGUAACUGACGCUGAUGCUCGAAAGUGUGGGUAUCAAACAGGAUUAGAUACCCUGGUAGUCCACACAGUAAACGAUGAAUACUCGCUGUUUGCGAUAUACAGUAAGCGGCCAAGCGAAAGCGUUAAGUAUUCCACCUGGGGAGUACGCCGGCAACGGUGAAACUCAAAGGAAUUGACGGGGGCCCGCACAAGCAGUGGAGUAUGUGGUUUAAUUCGACGCAACGCGAAGAACCUUACCAAGUCUUGACAUCCUGCGACGCACAUAGAAAUAUGUGUUUCCUUCGGGACGCAGAGACAGGUGGUGCAUGGUUGUCGUCAGCUCGUGCCGUGAGGUGUCGGCUUAAGUGCCAUAACGAGCGCAACCCUUAUCGAUAGUUACCAUCAGGUUAUGCUGGGGACUCUGUCGAGACUGCCGUCGUAAGAUGUGAGGAAGGUGGGGAUGACGUCAAAUCAGCACGGCCCUUACGUCCGGGGCUACACACGUGUUACAAUGGGGGGUACAGAAGGCAGCUACACGGCGACGUGAUGCUAAUCCCGAAAGCCUCUCUCAGUUCGGAUUGGAGUCUGCAACCCGACUCCAUGAAGCUGGAUUCGCUAGUAAUCGCGCAUCAGCCACGGCGCGGUGAAUACGUUCCCGGGCCUUGUACACACCGCCCGUCAAGCCAUGAAAGCCGGGGGUACCUGAAGUGCGUAACCGCAAGGAGCGCCCUAGGGUAAAACUGGUGAUUGGGGCU